rnacentral:rRNA from 1 species
GAUGAACGCUGGCGGCGUGCCUCAAACAUGCAAGUCGAGCGGGGCUAUGUAAUAUCGCAAGGUAGAACAUAGCCUAGCGGCGAACGGGUGAGUAACACGUGGGUAACCUGCCUGGAGGACAGGGAUAACGAUUCGAAAGGGUCGCUAAUACCUGAUAAUAUCCUUUCAUCGCAUGGUGAUAGGAAGAAAGGGGAAACCCGCUUUCAGAUGGGCCCGCGUCCCAUCAGCUAGUUGGUAAGGUAAAGGCUUACCAAGGCGACGACGGGUAGCCGGUCUGAGAGGAUGUACGGCCACACUGGGACUGAGAUACGGCCCAGACUCCUACGGGAGGCAGCAGUUGGGAAUCUUAGGCAAUGGACGAAAGUCUGACCUAGCGACGCCGCGUGAGGGAAGAAGGCCUUCGGGUUGUAAACCUCUGUCAUGGGGGAAGAGGUAAGUGACGGUACCCCAAGAGGAAGCCCCUGCUAACUACGUG